rnacentral:lncRNA from 1 species
CACACAAGGUCAAAUGUUGAUGGAAGGAGCUAGUCUUGGAGAGGCUGAAUAAACAGGAGAGAGAGAAUCCCCUAUCAAGAUGGGAGGAAAAAUGUAAGGUAUAGCAAAUUCUGUUGAUAGCCCACCCAACAGUUUUCCUCUUCUUUGCCUUCCUUUUUUUUUCCUUUUGAGACAGGGUCUCACUGUGUGUGUAGUUCAGGCUGGACAGCUCACAGCGAUCCUCCUGCCUCAGCCUCCGGAGUGCUGGGAUUACAACAUGUGCCACCACACCUGGCUAUGCCCGCCAUUAUUUCUUGCUAGCUGUACCAAGUAUCUGGAGUCUCCGUCCCUGCUGUUUGCAUGCAGCUGUGAUCAGACAGGAAUAUGUGCACCAACAAUGUUGCCCAGUCUUUCACCAACCUCCUCAGUACCAGCUUCCAUCUAAAAAAUUGAGAGACAGUUGAGCAGGAACUUUAAGACAUCUAAUCCAGUCGAAUUUUGGAAACAUUUAGAUUCUCUUUUGAUUCAGGCUCCCCUCAG